GACGAACGCUGGCGGCGUGCUUAACACAUGCAAGUCGAACGGAAAGGCCCUGCUUUUGUGGGGUGCUCGAGUGGCGAACGGGUGAGUAACACGUGGGUAACCUGCCCUUGACUUUGGGAUAACUUCAUGAAACUGGGUCUAAUACCGGAUAGGAGCUCCUGCUGCAUGGUGGGGGUGGGAAAGUUUCGGCGGUUGGGGAUGGACUCGCGGCUUAUCAGCUUGUUGGUGGGGUAGUGGCUUACCAAGGCUUGGACGGGUAGCCGGGCUGAGAGGGUGACCGGACACACUGGGACUGAGAUACGGCCCAGACUCCUACGGGAGGCAGCAGUGGAGAAUAGUGCACAAUGGGCGGAAGCCUGAUGCAGCAACGCCGCGUGCGGGAUGACGGCCUGCGGGUUGUAAACCGCUUUCGCCUGUGACGAAGCGUGAGUGACGGUAAUGGGUAAAGAAGCACCGGCUAACUACGUG
rnacentral:rRNA from 1 species